rnacentral:miRNA from 1 species
AAAGGUCAUUGCAGAUUUUGCC